rnacentral:rRNA from 1 species
GGACCCGCACAAGUAGUGGAGCAUGUGGUUUAAUUCGAAGAUACGCGCAGAACCUUACCAACACUUGACAUGUUCGUCGCGACUUUAAGAGAUUAAAGUUUUCGGUUCGGCCGGACGAAACACAGGUGCUGCAUGGCUGUCGUCAGCUCGUGUCGUGAGAUGUUGGGUUAAGUCCCGCAACGAGCGCAACCCUCACUUUUAGUUGCCAUCAUUAAGUUGGGCACUCUGAAAGAACUGCCAGUGAUAAGCUGGAGGAAGGUGGGGAUGACGUCAAGUCCUCAUGGCCCUUACGUGUUGGGCUACACACGUGCUACAAUGGUAUCUACAACAGGAAGCCAAAAACAGCGAUGUU